UACGUAGGGGGCGAGCGUUGUCCGGAUUUAUUGGGCGUAAAGAGCUCGUAGGCGGUUUGGUAAGUUGGAUGUGAAAUCUCCAGGCUCAACUUGGAGGGGUCAUUCGAUACUGCCAUGACUAGAGUUCGGUAGGGGAGUGUGGAAUUCCUGGUGGAGCGGUGAAAUGCGCAGAUAUCAGGAGGAACACCCGUAGCGAAGGCGGCACUCUGGGCCGGUACUGACGCUGAGGAGCGAAAGCAUGGGGAGCGAACAGG
rnacentral:rRNA from 1 species